rnacentral:rRNA from 1 species
GAACGUGCCCAUCGGUUCGGAAUAACCCAGGGAAACUUGGGCUAAUACCGGAUACGUGCGAGAGCAGAAAGAUUUAUCGCCGAUGGAUCGGCCCGCGUCUGAUUAGCUAGUUGGUGAGGUAACGGCUCACCAAGGCGACGAUCAGUAGCUGGUCUGAGAGGAUGAUCAGCCACACUGGGACUGAGACACGGCCCAGACUCCUACGGGAGGCAGCAGUGGGGAAUAUUGGACAAUGGGCGCAAGCCUGAUCCAGCCAUGCCGCGUGAGUGAUGACGGCCCUAGGGUUGUAAAGCUCUUUCGCACGCGACGAUAAUGACGGUAGCGUGAGAAGAAGCCCCGGCUAACUUCGUGCCAGCAGCCGCGGUAAUACGAAGGGGGCUAGCGUUGUUCGGAAUCACUGGGCGUAAAGGGCGCGUAGGCGGCCGUUCAAGUCGGGGGUGAAAGCCUGUGGCUCAACCACAGAAUGGCCUUCGAUACUGUUCGGCUCGAGACCGGAAGAGGUUGGUGGAACUGCGAGUGUAGAGGUGAAAUUCGUAGAUAUUCGCAAGAACACCGGUGGCGAAGGCGGCCAACUGGUCCGGUUCUGACGCUGAGGCGCG